rnacentral:rRNA from 1 species
AUUGAACGCUGGCGGCAUGCUUUACACAUGCAAGUCGAACGGUAACAGCACUUCGGUGGCUGACGAGUGGCGAACGGGUGAGUAAUACAUCGGAGCGUGCCUAGUAGUGGGGGAUAACUACUCGAAAGAGUAGCUAAUACCGCAUGAGAUCUAAGGAUGAAAGCAGGGGACCUUCGGGCCUUGCGCUACUAGAGCGGCUGAUGGCAGAUUAGGUAGUUGGUGGGAUAAAAGCUUACCAAGCCGACGAUCUGUAGCUGGUCUGAGAGGACGACCAGCCACACUGGGACUGAGACACGGCCCAGACUCCUACGGGAGGCAGCAGUGGGGAAUUUUGGACAAUGGGCGCAAGCCUGAUCCAGCAAUGCCGCGUGCAGGAUGAAGGCCUUCGGGUUGUAAACUGCUUUUGUACGGAACGAAAAGCCCUCUUCUAAUACAGGAGGGUCAUGACGGUACCGUAAGAAUAAGCACCGGCGAACUACGU